rnacentral:rRNA from 1 species
AUUGAACGCUGGCGGCAUGCCUUACACAUGCAAGUCGAACGGCAGCACGGGUGCUUGCCCCUGGUGGCGAGUGGCGAACGGGUGAGUAAUACAUCGGAACAUGUCCUGUAGUGGGGGAUAGCCCGGCGAAAGCCGGAUUAAUACCGCAUACGAUCUACGGCUGAAAGCGGGGGCCCUUCGGGCCUCGCGCUAUAGGGUUGGCCGAUAGCUGAUUAGCUAGUUGGUGGGGUAAAGGCCUACCAAGGCGACGAUCAGUAGCUGGUCUGAGAGGACGACCAGCCACACUGGGACUGAGACACGGCCCAGACUCCUACGGGAGGCAGCAGUGGGGAAUUUUGGACAAUGGGCGAAAGCCUGAUCCAGCAAUGCCGCGUGUGUGAAGAAGGCCUUCGGGUUGUAAAGCACUUUUGUCCGGAAAGAAAUCCUUGGCUCUAAUACAGUCGGGGGAUGACGGUACCGGAAGAAUAAGCACCGGCUAACUACGUG